CACUAUCGUUAAGUGAAUACAUAGCUUAACGAAGCGAACCAGGGGAACUGAAACAUCUAAGUACCCUGAGGAAAAGAAAUCAACCGAGAUUCCCCUAGUAGCGGCGAGCGAACGGGGAGCAGCCCAGAACCUUAAUCAGCGUAUGUGUCAGAGGAACGGUCUGGAAAGUCCGGCGAUACAGGGUGAUAGCCCCGUACUUGAAAAUGCAUAUGUUGUGAGUUCGAUGAGUAGGGCGGGACACGUGACAUCCUGUCUGAAUAUGGGGGGACCAUCCUCCAAGGCUAAAUACUCCUGACUGACCGAUAGUGAACCAGUACCGUGAGGGAAAGGCGAAAAGAACCCCGGCGAGGGGAGUGAAAUAGAACCUGAAACCGUGUACGUACAAGCAGUGGGAGCCUCUUU
rnacentral:rRNA from 1 species